AGGAUUUAAUCCUCCUAAAGAGUCGUUCGAGACCAGGACGUUGAUAGGCAGGGUGUGGAAGCACGGUAACGUGUGAAGCUAACCUGUACUAAUUGCUCGUGAGGCUUGACUCU
rnacentral:ncRNA from 1 species